AACGAACGCUGGCGGCAUGCCUAAUACAUGCAAGUCGAACGAGAUCUUCGGAUCUAGUGGCGCACGGGUGCGUAACGCGUGGGAAUCUACCCUUGGGUUCGGAAUAACUUCGGGAAACUGAAGCUAAUACCGGAUGAUGACGAAAGUCCAAAGAUUUAUCGCUCAAGGAUGAGCCCGCGUAGGAUUAGCUAGUUGGUGGGGUAAAGGCCUACCAAGGCGACGAUCCUUAGCUGGUCUGAGAGGAUGAUCAGCCACACUGGGACUGAGACACGGCCCAGACUCCUACGGGAGGCAGGAGCAGGGAAUAUUGGACAAUGGGCGAAAGCCUGAUCCAGCAAUGCCGCGUGAGUGAUGAAGGCCUUAGGGUUGUAAAGCUCUUUUACCCGAGAUGAUAAUGACAGUAUCGGGAGAAUAAGCCCCGGCUAACUCCGUGCCAGCAGCCGCCGUAAUAC
rnacentral:rRNA from 1 species